rnacentral:rRNA from 1 species
AAUAGAUACCCUGGUAGUCCACGCCGUAAACGAUGAGUGCUAAGUGUUAGAGGGUUUCCGCCCUUUAGUGCUGAAGUUAACGCAUUAAGCACUCCGCCUGGGGAGUACGGCCGCAAGGCUGAAACUCAAAGGAAGUUGACGGGGGCCCGCACAAGCGGUGGAGCAUGUGGUUUAAUUCGAAGCAACGCGAAGAACCUUACCAGGUCUUGACAUCCUCUGACAACCCUAGAGAUAGGGCUUCUCCUUCGGGAGCAGAGUGACAGGUGGUGCAUGGUUGUCGUCAGCUCGUGUCGUGAGAUGUUGGGUUAAGUCCCGCAACGAGCGCAACCCUUGAUCUUAGUUGCCAUCAUUUAGUUGGGCACUCUAAGGUGACUGCCGGUGACAAACCGGAGGAAGGUGGGGAUGACGUCAAAUCAUCAUGCCCCUUAUGACCUGGGCUACACACGUGCUACAAUGGACGGUACAAAGAGCUGCAAGACCGCGAGGUGGAGCUAAUCUCAUAAAACCGUUCUCAGUUCGGA